rnacentral:rRNA from 1 species
GACGAACGCUGGCGGCGUGCUUAACACAUGCAAGUCGAACGGUAAGGCCCUUUCUUUGUUGGGUGCUCUAGUUGCGAACGGGUGGGUAACAUGUGAGUAACCUGCCCUUGACUCUGGUAUUACUUCAGGAAAUUGGGGCUUAUACCGUACAGGAGCUCCUGCUGCUUUGUCGUGGUUGGUAUGGUUCGGCUGUUGUGGCUGGACGUGGGGCUUAUCAGCUUGUUGGUGGGGUAGUUGCUUACCAAGGCUUUGACGGGUAGCCGGCCUGAGAGGGUUACCGGCAAGAUUGGGACUGAGACACGGCCCAGAAGCCUACGGGAGGGCGCAGUGGGGGAUAGUGCGAAGUGGGCGGGCGCCGUGUGCAGUGACGCCGCGUGCGGGAUGACGGCCUUCGGGUUGUGAACCGCUUUCGCCUGGGUCGAAGCGUGAGUGACGGUAAUUGGUAAAGAAGCACCGGCUAACUACGUG